rnacentral:lncRNA from 1 species
CCGUCACCUUCUCAAAGUGCACCCUCCUCGUCCUCAUCCGCUUCUCCCGCUUCAGUAUCGAGGACGCUAGAAAGACAUUAAAGUGCGUGUGUUGAGGAUGAGGAUGAUGCUGUUGAAGGAUGGCUGAAGUGCGAGGCUGACGGGUUGACGCUGUCGCUGCUGUCUCCGCUCUCAGUGCUGGAUAUCUCCUCCUCCUCAGACUCCCUCAGUGAGGAGCAGGGUGACGCCCCCUCCACCUCCUCAAACUUCCUCUUCAGAAUUCCACUCAUGGCUGCCGUCAGGCUGCACCAGACAAAGAGUGCAACUAGAAUUGAGCCAGCGAUGAGAAGAGUGAAAAAAGAGACAUGCACACACAUACACACAACAGAGAAACCAGAGUCUGGAGAGAGAGAGAGAGCGAGAGAGAGGGGGGAAGGCUGGCUGGCAGCCUCAUUACUGAAGGAGGGAAUGUUUUGUUUCACACUGCAAGCCUCACAGAGCCAUCGGAUGACUACUGAAGCCCAGCAGAGCUGCUGA